rnacentral:misc_RNA from 1 species
UCCGGCUUAUCACCGGCAGUCUGCUCAGGGUUCCAAACUAAAUGUUGGCAACUAAACACGAGGGUUGCGCUCGUUGCGGGACUUAACCCAACAUCUCACGACACGAGCUGACGACGGCCAUGCAGCACCUGUCACCUGGCUUCCGAAGACACCCCACUGUUUCCAGCGGGUUCCAGGGAUGUCAAGCCUCGGUAAGGUUCUACGCGUAGCGUCAUAUUAAACCACAUCCUCCUCUGCUUGUGCGGGUCCCCGUCAAUUCCUUUGAGUUUUAACCUUGCGGUCGUACUUCCCAGGCGGCAUACUUAUCGCGUUAGCUGCGACGCACAGGGGGUCGAUACCCCAUACGUCUAGUAUGCAUCGUUUACGGCGUGGACUAC